AUUAAUUUGGCAGAUUAGUGCUUUGAAUUUAGAAUUCAAGAAUGAGUUAUUUCAAUUAAUA
rnacentral:tRNA from 1 species